GGUUUCAUAGUGUAGUAGUUAGAACGUCUGUUUUAUAUGCAGAAGGUCCUGGGUUCGUGCCCCAGUGGAGCCA
rfam:Pteropus alecto contig77000, whole genome shotgun sequence.